rnacentral:lncRNA from 1 species
GUUACCUUCUGUAAUUAGAACUAACAUAAUCGAUAUAAAAAUGAAAGUAGAUGACAUUUUGUGAAGUAUUCCUAGUGACAGAAAGGGGGCAUUCCCAUGCUCAUAUUUAUGUGUCUGUAUAUGUGUGAGAGUGGUUACAAACCUAUGAACAAGAACCACUUCAAAGAAAAUACCCACUUCAAACGCAAACAUUCAUUACGUACAUAAAAUGGUAGCAAGUUUUUUCCUGAUGUAGCGAAUCAAAGGCCAACA